GUGGGGAAUAUUGGGCAAUGGGGGAAACCCUGACCCAGCAACGCCGCGUGAAGGAAGAAGGUUUUCGGAUCGUAAACUUCUAUCCUUGGUGAAGAUAAUGACGGUAGCCAAGAAGGAAGCCCCGGCUAACUACGUGCCAGCAGCCGCGGUAAUACGUAGGGGGCAAGCGUUGUCCGGAAUGAUUGGGCGUAAAGGGAGCGUAGGCGGCCCGGUAAGUCUGAAGUGAAAGUCCUGCUUUUAAGGUGGGAAUUGCUUUGGAUACUGUCGGGCUUGAGUGCAGGAGAGGUAAGCGGAAUUCCCGGUGUAGCGGUGAAAUGCGUAGAGAUCGGGAGGAACACCAGUGGCGAAGGCGGCUUACUGGACUGUAACUGACGCUGAGGCGCGAAAGUGUGGGGAGCAAACAGGAUUAGAAACCCCAGUAGUCC
rnacentral:rRNA from 1 species